rnacentral:rRNA from 1 species
AAUGAACGCUGGCGGCAGGCCUAACACAUGCAAGUCGAACGGACCCUUCGGGGUUAGUGGCGGACGGGUGAGUAACGCGUGGGAACGUGCCCUUUGGUUCGGAAUAGCCUCGGGAAACUGGGCGUAACACCGGCUAAGCCCUUCGGGGGAUAGAUUUAUCGCAAAAGGAUCGGCCCGCGUUGGAUUAGGGAGUUGGUGGGGUAAUGGCCUACCAAGCCGACGAUCCAUAGCUGGUUUGAGAGGAUGAUCAGCCACACUGGGACUGAGACACGGCCCAGACUCCUACGGGAGGCAGCAGUGGGGAAUCUUAGACAAUGGGGGAAACCCUGAUCUAGCCAUGCCGCGUGAUCGAUGAAGGCCUUAGGGUUGUAAAGAUCUUUCAGAUGGGAAGAUAAUGACGGUACCAUCAGAAGAAGCCCCGGCUAACUCCGUGCCAGCAGCCGCGGUAA